rnacentral:rRNA from 1 species
GAUGAACGCUGGCGGCGUGCCUAAUACAUGCAAGUCGAGCGAACAGAUGAGGAGCUUGCUCCUCUGACGUUAGCGGCGGACGGGUGGGUAACACGUGGAUAACCUACCUAUAAGACUGGGAUAACUUCGGGAAACCGGAGCUAAUACCGGAUAAUAUAUUGAACCGCAUGGUUCAAUAGUGAAAGACGGUUUUGCUGUCACUUAUAGAUGGAUCCGCGCCGCAUUAGCUAGUUGGUAAGGUAACGGCUUACCAAGGCAACGAUGCGUAGCCGACCUGAGAGGGGGAGCGGCGACACAAGAAAUGAUGCAGGGUCCGGAGAAAGAUGGGAGGCCGCAGUGGGGGAGCUUCCGCAAUGUGUGAAAGAGGGAAGGCGCAAUGAUGAGUGAGUGACGAAGGGCUAAGGAUCGGAACACUCCGUGAGGAGGGAAGAACAAAAGUGCAAGGAACUAGGCACGUCGGGACGGGACAUAAGAAGAAAGACACGGCGAACGAAGUG